CUUAGACUGCAUUUCUGUGACCAUCUGACCAGUCUGCCUAAAUUUAACCAGGUUAUGCCUCUGCAUUUCACAACUGGAGAGAGGAAAGGAAGACGCUUCAAGUACACAUAAAUUGUGAUGCAGCUUUCAAUUUCGUGGAUGUCACCAACAAAGAGACACAAGUCCAGGUGUUGUGACUGGGUUUCGUUCAUGCUGUCUGAGCCAACCAGAGGUCCUGAGGAAGUGUUUAGUGUGAACCAGAUGAAGCCUACUGAUGCUGACUUUCUGAACAGAGGGCUGGCAGAGGUCAGUACCACUCCAGCACUGGGGCAGGCAGCACGGUCAGAACUCACCCUGACACUGUUACCUUUCGUUUCAUUGCUUGCAGGAGGAAUGCAGUUUACAAAGUACAGAGGGAAUGCUUUCAACAUGGGCAUAUUGAUUAACAGGAAUUGUUUUCUUCCAUUUUCUUUCUAAUGUUUCUUUGCAUUGCCUAUUCAUCUACUCAUCCCGCAUUGACUGCACUUGAAGGUUAAGCUCAACAGAUUUGCAUGUGAAAAUUUCCAGUGCCACCUGUCGUCAGAGGCAACAGACAGGAAUUAGCAUGAUGCUGCAUGUCCUCAAAUACACUUUUCCUUUGAAAGAUGGGGAGAAUAAAUGUUGGUAUUUCACAUUUUAAAUGCUGUUGCAGAUUAGAAUUAAACUCUGGAGGGGCACACACAGAAAUGUUCGUUUCCGAUUUAUGCCUUUACUUCCCAAG
rnacentral:lncRNA from 1 species